rnacentral:lncRNA from 1 species
UUUGUAAUUUCCUAUACUAAUCCAAAGUGCUGCAAAACUCCCAAUCUUCGCAAGUUUUCAGCAUCUAGAAUCCAGUCACAUAUGUACUUCUUUCUAAACGCAGCCAAUUCCUCCUACAAUGAACAUUAAUAUUACUUUAGGCCAAAUUGUUAUAAUAUAGACUUAAAUUUAGAAAUUCAUCAGUCAACAUACAUUACUAUAAUCAGGCAUGCUUUUGCCAUCAUAUUUGUCCUCUCCAUCCCAUAUUUCCAAGGCUUUCAUCAUGAUUACUCCACAG